AUUGAACGCUGGCGGCAGGCCUAACACAUGCAAGUCGAACGAGUGGCGGACGGGUGAGUAAUGUCUGGGAAAAUGCCUGAUGGCGGGGGAUAACUACUGGAAAAAGUAGCUAAUACCGCAUACCAUCAGAUGUGCCAAGAUGGGAUUAGCUAGUUGGUGGGGUGACGGAUCACCAAGGCGACGAUCCCUAGCUGGUCUGCGAGGAUGACCAGCCAGACUGGAGCGGAGACACGGUCGAGACACCUACGGUAGGAAGCAGUGGGGAAUAUUGCAUAAUGGGCGCAAGCCUGAUGCAGCCAGGCCGAGUGUAUGAAGAAGGCCUUCGGGUUGUAAAGUACUUUCAGCGGGGAGGCGUUAACCGCAGAAGAAGCACCGGCUAACUCCGUGCCAGCAGCCGCGGUAAUUC
rnacentral:rRNA from 1 species